UUUCUGGGCUCUUCGACCCGGAUUCUCGACCCAGUAACCCGCAAAGGAGAUCCGACGGAAUCUCCUCCGUCCGGCCACCUCACGACGGCGCACCGGCAUCUAUCGCUUCCUCUCCCAGUCGCCGACGUCUUUCUGGGGUCAGAUCGUUCAGCUGGCAGCUCUGGGAAGAGAGUCGACGCCGUGAAGCUCUGAGUUCUCAGGCGGUUCUUCGGCUGUUUCCGGCAACGGAAUGAUCUGCAUGAGGUAAGGAUAUCGAUCCUCUCGUCGUACUCUACGUGUUGGUGUACUUGGUUUUGACAUUAAUCGAGUUUUGAUUGAGCUGCUGUUUUGAGUGUUCUCGGCCUUCACCGGAAUUCACUGUUCACGACGACACUCCUAGCUUUUCUGGGUUCAUCUCCGACGUCUAAGGGCAUGGAUUGAUGUCUCCUAGAGCUCGAUUCAUUGGGAACCUUGAAUUGACGAGAAAUUGCUCUAUGGUUCAAAAGAAGGGAGUGACUAACUCGGGAGCUCGAUGCUCAGUCUACAAAUCAUAUUGAACCUGUCAAAGGACUUCAGUUACCUGAGGAACGGAAGGUUCGCGACUCUCGGAGUGCGUGAGAGAAAGCAUCGGAAUCCAGAGCGAAGGGUGGCUCUGACUUCCUUGGGUUCGAUCCCCAAAACCUUCGGAGGGUUAGUUACACCGGUCGGACGGUGAGCGAUCGCAAUGACGACCCGAUCCGUGUGUGUAGCUCGGUAGCGGACGCUCUCGCUACGCUUACCUGGUGAUAAAUUAAAUUGAGGUAAGAUCGUGUAGUGGGUCUAUGGGACCGGCCAUCAGGUAAUACUUGGAUUUGGCGCCGUAUUUAUUUAAGCAUCAUGCAUAAGUUUUCAAAUUGAGAAAUAUUAUGAAGUUUGUCGUUCCUUUAAAUAUUUGGUUUAAGCAUGUGUUCAUACUGGAGCUCCAACAUUUAUCUGUUGAUUUUCAAACCUAGUCGAGUUAGAGUUCCUGUUGAGCAGCGAGGACGAAAGCUCACCCCUACAACAGUAUGAAUGCAGGUACUGUGCACUGGUGACCGGACAAUAGCGGAUGGAGCUGGGUGAGCAGAACAAGGUCGGUAAAUUACCGUGUGAACCUUAUUCUAAAUUCUAUUUCUCGAACUUUGUGUUCUGGAACUUGUGGUUAUCUAGUCUCGUGUCAUCUUUUAGUUGAAUUCUCUUCAAGUGAAAUUCAACCUUGUGUGAGCCUUUAUCCAAGUUCUGGACGAAUGAAAUAGAUUUCAGCAACUCAAGUUUUUCACCUCAAGAAUAUUUGUAGCUUCUGCUGUGUUUGUACAAAAAGUUUUUCAAACAAAAUGCCUAGCGAUUCUCUAGGAUGUAAAUCGAGCGUUCGGUUUAUGUUUU